CCUACGGGGGCAGCAGUGGGGAAUAUUGGACAAUGGGCGAAAGCCUGAUCCAGCCAUGCCGCGUGUGUGAAGAAGGCCUUCGGGUUGUAAAGCACUUUCAGUGGGGAAGAAAGCCUUGGGGCUAAUACCCUCGAGGAAGGACAUCACCCACAGAAGAAGCACCGGCUAACUCCGUGCCAGCAGCCGCGGUAAUACGGAGGGUGCGAGCGUUAAUCGGAAUUACUGGGCGUAAAGCGCGCGUAGGCGGUCUGAUAAGCCGGUUGUGAAAGCCCCGGGCUCAACCUGGGAACGGCAUCCGGAACUGUCAGGCUAGAGUGCAGGAGAGGAAGGUAGAAUUCCCGGUGUAGCGGUGAAAUGCGUAGAGAGCGGGAGGAAUACCAGUGGCGAAGGCGGCCUUCUGGACUGACACUGACGCUGAGGUGCGAAAGCGUGGGUAGCAAACAGGAUUAGAUACCCUUGUAGUC
rnacentral:rRNA from 1 species